GACCGGAUGUUGUUUACGACCCAGCAGGUGAAUAACUCAUAGUUAGUGAGCUCUAACGCGCAACAAUUCACAAGUAGGUGUUUAUUUUAGACACUUAAAAAAUGUUUAGACGUUUAGACAACUACGGUUAACUCAGUGAAGUUUUCUCGAAUGAAAAAUCAUACAAACUGGAGCUAACAUCCGGGGGUCUGGUAUGCAAGUGAUUCAUAAAUGGACUUGUUUUCAUCGAAAAUGGCCUCACUGACUUUUUGGAGCGACGCACGCAGCUUUGGAGUGUCGUGCACGUGACGACCAUGGCUUCCCGCUGCAGCCUGGCAUACAUCGGAGGAGGUAAGGCCCUAAGAGUAAACAGUAGUAAACAACAGUAGCAGUAGGGGAGUGGGCCUCCCUGCGGUGUUGAUUAUUGGAGGGCUGUAAACAGUAAACCCCUACUAGUAGGCCAGGAGCUCGCCAAGCGGGAACGGCUGCUGCUGGCGGCCCGCAGCUAGGCCAACAACAUCUGGACAUCAGCUCAGCUCCUCACUAUGAUGGCGAUGGAGGCUAUAACAACAUUAGCUACACCUGCACCAACUCAUUAAUUAUGCCUUUACUGAGAUAAUAAUGCUCACUUUUAAUUAUUUUAACGAUGUUUAUUGUUGUGCAACUAUAUUACAGUCCCUA